ensembl:lncRNA
UGACGACUCAGGACAGACCGAGGGACAGAGGGAUGACAGUCAGGGGCAAUCUGGGACCAAGAUUUUCUGCAGUGGAAAUUACUGGCUAAAUAAACCUAUCUCCUCAUUGACACAAAGCUAAGAAGAGAGAUCAGUUACAACAAAAAAAAGGAAAGAAAUGUGAUUAUUUCCUAAGUCGAGGCAAGAAUAUUGGAGUGGUUUGCCAUUUCCUCCUCCAGGAGGACUUCGUGACUCAGGGAUCUAACUCUCACCUCCGACAUUGACAAGUGGAUUCUUUACCCCUCAGGCACCUGGGAAGCUCUAUUUCUCCCCAGUGCUUGCCAACAGGAACAUCUGAAAGGUCAUCAGAAGAGGGAAACAAGUAUCUGUGCUGUGGAGGAGCCUGAUCAGAGGCCAUACUGCAGUCAAGAUAAGGAAACUGAGGCACAAAGGAGAUGAAAUAACUUGAACAAGAUUCAAAAUCUACUUCAGCUGAAACCUGAACCUUGAUCCAAGUUCAGACGCUGGAUGAUGAAGUUGAAGAAAUUAAACUCUUCUACACGUUUUCUUCCUUUUCCAGUUGGUUUUGGUCCCUAUAGCAUGGUGAUGUCCAGCUAAGCAUGCCCCUUCCAAAUGUAUUCAAUGAUAUUUGCUUGUGAGAACCUCAGUCACAAACACUACUCUCAUUGUCCCAGCAUAAUGCAAAGUCACUGUGGCUCUGGGCAGCAGAGGCUGUGAGUUCCUUUUCAGCUUCAUUAACUAACCUUGAGGAGGCUGGGAUGGGGGAAACGCUAAAACCCAGUUCUCCCAGCCAGCAGCCAGCCUGGCCAGCGGACAGAGGUGGAAUGUGACCAAGGUAUGUCUUGGUUGAUGGUUCACCCCUGGAUGAGGUAGUCCCUGAAAGUUGAUCUUUGGGGAUUUCAAAUCUGUUGAUGAAAACGGGAAUAAAGGAGGGACCUUGAUAAAAAUGUUGAGGUAUGCAGGCAGGAAAUGAUGGCAAAAUUCUCCCCACCCCUAUCAAAGAAAAUGGCUUUAGGAAGUUGAGUCUCUACCCCUGUUCCUGUCUCCCCCUUAUAAAUCUACCCCUAAAUCAUCUUCAGGGAAUUGGACCGGUUGCUUUCUCCCUGGCAAUAACAGGGAAUUCCAACUGCAAGCCAAUUAGAAUACACCCAGAGCUGCCAGUAAAAUCUUUCACUGACUUCACUUUAUUGGUUUCAUAAAACAAGAGAAAGAAAUCAGAGAUAGUCCAGAGCCUCACGGAGAUGCAAGUGUCUUUAUGAAGCAGACUGAAGCCUGCCUCCAUGGGCUCCCCAUUCCACAUCCUUCCUCCACCCAGAUGUUUUUAGCUGCUGCCACCUGCCCACGAUCCUGUGGUGUUAGGACACCAGCUCACAGAUCCGAGCUGUAUAGUCCUUACUUCCCUGGAUAUUUGAUCGA